UGUCAUUUGUUUGUUUCUGUUGUCUGCAUUUUAAUCGUUUCAUGAUGCAAUGGUGUGUUUUAUCUGCCUGAUUCCAGCUGAAGUGAGCGGGUUGUGUGACGUUUAUUUUGGGGGACGUUCUGUAGGCGAGGUUUGUGUGACGCUCUGCGAGCUACUAGCUCAACAGUGGAAACGCGACAUGAUUUCGGCCUCACUACUCGAUUGGCCUGGCCCGAUAAAAGCCCUGGCUCACACUGGCCCGAAAGUGGAAAUGCGGCUAUUGUUUAUACCUAGAUCUGGGGACCUCCACAAACAACUGGCCUGCUGAUCGUAGGAUCGUGUUCGCUCAGCACCACCUUCAAGAUGGGCAGUUUCCAGUGGCACCACGUGGAGGAACGGACCUCGCCACCUAUAUAUACAGGGAAGCAGAGGAAAUAUGGAGAAUGUGAUGAGACUGAGAGAAGAACAAACCUCCAAGUACCACAACAGACUCAAGCGUAUGGAGAACAUUAGAAACUGGACACAUAUACCACAUCCACAGCAGACAUCUUCAGUGAUUUUCAUCGCUUGUAUUUAUUUUCAGAGGAAAUGCAGCUCAGCACCACCUUCAAGAUGGGCAGUUUCCAGUGGCACCACGUGGAGGAACGGACAUCGCCACCUAUAUAUACAGGGUUUGGAUUAUCACUCACCAUGAACUACAACUACACACUAAAUCACUAGUCAAUAAAUGAUGUCCUCCAACCAUAAAUCAUAUACCACAUUAGCAAAACAUUAGACUAGAGAAGGUUGUAUAUGAGGACAAUAUUAAAGCAAAUACUAAAGGUAGCAACUUAAUUCAUCUUCAGAACACAAAUGAAGAUAUCUGAAUGAAAAUAAUGAAGAUAUUUUAGUUAAAUCUGAGAGCUCCUUAAUCUCUCAUAGACAGCAAGAUUCCUGACUAUGAGGAUACUUUUAUGUGCACAUAAAACAAAAAUAACUUUAUUCAACAGUUUCUUCCCUCAGUGUCAGUAUAGGGCGCGCGUUCACGUGUUGCGCCUCUGACAUAUAACCUUGGAUGUGCCUGUGAAGUUUUUAAGAGAGGAAGUCAGAGAGGAAGUCGCACAGGCAUCCGUGGGGUAUA